CAUCCUGGGGCUGUAGUAGGUCCCAAGGGUUGGGCUGUUCGCCCAUUAAAGUGGUACGCGAGCUGGGUUCAGAACGUCGUGAGACAGUUCGGUCCCUAUCCGUCGCAGGCGUAGGAAAUUUGAGAAGACCUGUCCUUAGUACGAGAGGACCGGGAUGGACGUACCUCUGGUGUACCAGUUGUUCUGCCAAGGGCAUGGCUGGGUAGCUAUGUACGGAAUGGAUAAGCGCUGAAAGCAUCUAAGCGCGAAGCCAACUUCAAGAUAAGAUUUCCCACCGCAAGGGUAAGACCCCAGAAAGACUAUCUGGUUGAUAGGUCGAAGGUGUAAGUGCAGCAAUGUAUUUAGCUUAUCGAUACUAAUAGGUCGAGGACUUGACCAAU
rnacentral:rRNA from 1 species